UACGAAGGGUGCUAGCGUUGUUCGGAAUCACUGGGCGUAAAGCGCGCGCAGGCGGCCAAUCAAGUCAGAGGUGAAAUGCCGGGGCUUAACCCCGGAAUUGCCUUUGAAACUGCUUGGCUAGAGUAUGGGAGGGGAUAGCGGAAUUCCAAAUGUAGAGGUGAAAUUCGUAGAUAUUUGGAGGAACACCGGUGGCGAAGGCGGCUAUCUGGACCAUUACUGACGCUGAGGCGCGAAAGCGUGGGGAUCAAACAGG
rnacentral:rRNA from 1 species